GAUGAACGCUAGCGGCAGGCUUAACACAUGCAAGUCGGAGGGGUAACAGGUUGUGCUUGCACAAUGCUGACGACCGGCGCACGGGUGCGUAACGCGUAUACAAUCUGCCUUUUGCUGAGGGAUAGCCCAGAGAAAUUUGGAUUAAUACCUCAUAGUAUCAUAAUUAGGCAUCUAAUAAUGAUUAAAGGUUACGGCAAAAGAUGAGUAUGCGUUCUAUUAGCUAGAUGGUGUGGUAACGGCACACCAUGGCAACGAUAGAUAGGGGCCCUGAGAGGGGGAUCCCCCACACUGGUACUGAGACACGGACCAG
rnacentral:rRNA from 1 species